AUUCGAACAUGCCCUUCUUUAUGAAGCAUCCCUUGAGGGCCUGAGGAUUGGACCUUGUUCCUAGGCUUUCCCAGGGGCCUUUUACAAUUGGGUUGCAGGGGGCUGGGCAUAGUGUUCACACAGUUGUGAAGUUGUGAUCCCAGUUACUCUGGAGGCUGAGGCAGGAGGAUCACAAAUUCAAACGCUGCCUGGACCACAGAGUAAGUCCAAGGCCAGGGUAGGCAGCUUAGCUGAGAUAGUUUACUGAAAAAGUAUAUGUUGGUGGUAUGUAGUGUGUGUGUGUGUGUGUGUGUUUGUGUGUGUAUUGGUGGUAUGUAUAUGUAUAUUGGUGUUGUGUGGUAUGUGUGUGGUGUGUGUGUGUAUUGGUGGUGUGUAUAUGUGUACAUGUGUGUGUUGGUGUUGUGUGGUAUGUGUGUGUUCGUAUUGUAAGUAUGUGUGCUGGUGUUGUGUGUGUUGGUGUUGUGUGUGUUGACGUUGUGUGUGUUGGUAGUGUGGGGGUGAGGUUGUGUGUGUUGGUAUGUGUAUGUUGGUGUUGUGAGUGUGUGUGUUGGUAUGUGUAUAUGUUGGUGGUGGGUGGGUGUGUGUGUGCGCACGCGCGCGCGAAUGUAGCAGGUGUGUAUCUCAGUGGUAGAGCAUUUGCAUAGCACGCACGAGGCCUUGGGAUACAUUCUCAGUACAGAAAAAAAAAGCCAGGUGUGGUUGCAGCUGUUUCCCUACUGCUGGAAGGAAAAGAGGCCGUAGCUCACCUUCUCUACUGAGGGAGGCGACCACUGUGCAGGCAGCUGGGAAGACUCUGAAUGAGGGAGGUCCCAGUCUGAUUCCCAGCACCCACCUGGCAGCUCACGACUGUCUGCAUGUCCGGAUCUGUGGAUACUGUGAGUACACGGCACACAGAUGUACAAGUAGGCAACACAUCAACAUACAUAAACAUAAAUGAAUGAAUAAACAAUCCAGUGAAAGACUUGCCUAUGGAAUGUUCCCUCAGCCUUCUGGGAAGUGCUGUAUUUCUUGGCUACUAUCUCCAGGAUAGAUUCCGGUGGCGCAGAGGCAGCGGAAGAGCAGAAUGGUCUGUCUGCCUUGGAAGUACCCGGCACCCCGAGUCUUUGGCCUCUGGCCAAGAACUAGGAAGAAAAGAAGAAACCAGGUAUUGACAGAUGGAGGGAAGGCUGGGACUGCUGAAAGACAGAGGAGAGGGGAAUGCCUGUUGGCGGCCAUUGGAGACAAGGAAAGAGAGACUCUGGGAGAUUAAGCAACUAGCCCAGGCUUACUCAGCCGGUAUAUGUGGGAGGCCUGACAACCCAUCCUGUGUUUCCAGUUCAUAAGCCAACACCCCAGCCACUGGGGUGACUGUUCCUGGUACUGGAGGAUGUGAGCCCUCAGCUACUGCUCUGAGUCAUGCCCCAGGCCUGCUACCAUGCUCUCCGCCAUGAUGGAUGCCAACCCUUUGAAAUGGCCUUGUGUAAUCGACCUGGCAAACCGCCUGCCACGCUCUGCAAACCCAACCUCCCACAUGAGGGCUGAACUUCUUGGAACCCUUAAAAAAUACCAGUGAACUUCAGGAAGUAACACACGGACGCACGCAACUCUCUUCCAGAAAGAGGUCAAUGGUCCCAGAGUCGGAGGAAACACCACCAUGACCCCAGGACUUCCUGCCCACACACUCGGCAUCAUCCCAAAGUUCAAAAAGUUCGAAUGGCUCACUAACUGACAUCCGGCCGACAGAUGGGGAGUGCGAUGGGGAGUGUGCCUCAGUGGUAGAGUGCUUGCCUACCUCGGGAGAGGCCCUGGCUUCUGUCUCUAACCCUGCAAAGAAAAAAAAUUAAUCAAAUGAAACAAAAAUAAAGCAGGCUUUGAAAAAAAAAGAAAAAGAAAUUACUUUUCCUGGGGUCUGGUUCUGUCCUCCUUUCCCUCCCCGCCCCCAUGACUGAAAGGCAAAAAAUGUCAAUGCAACUGGUCAAACCAAGAUCGCCUGCAGAGAUAACGCAUGUUUUCCUAAAGCUAUCCAAGAGGAACUGUAAACGGCAAACAACUGUGCAGAUGUGCUUACUGGAGACCAGGAUGUCUCUUACCUAUUAGCAUUCCUCUCUUACACCCCCACACCCCCAUCUAAACAGUUUCACCUCAUAAAACCAGUUUCUUUAUUAUUUGGUUAAAAAAGAAACAAAACAAAAAAAACAAAACAAAGGAGCUGGAGAGAUGGCUCAGCAGUUAAGAGCACUGACUGCUCUUCCAAAGGUCCUGAGUUCAAAUCCCAGCAACCACAUGGUAGCUCACAACCAUCCAUAAUGAAAUCUGAAGCUCUCUUCUAGAGUGUCUGAAGACAGCUACAG